rnacentral:rRNA from 1 species
AAAACUUUCAACAACGGAUCUCUUGGUUCUGGCAUCGAUGAAGAACGCAGCGAAAUGCGAUAAGUAAUGUGGAAUUGCAGAAUUCAGUGAAUCAUCGAAUCUUUGAACGCACAUUGCGCCCUCUGGUAUUCCGGAGGGGCAUGCCUGUUCGAGCGUCAU